ACCAGGGUAGAAUGUGCUCCCAAGGCUCAGGGUACCCCGCCAUGACCUCAGAGUAGUGUUGUGCAGUGAAGCGAUAUGUGUCACAAGGAAAAUCGGCGUUUUGGGCAUCUUUUUCACAGC
rnacentral:lncRNA from 1 species